AGAUUAUGUCUUGGGGGAGUUGAACACAAAAAUCCACCGUGCUCCUCCCUUUCCUCCCUUGACCAUCGAAUGUCCAGGCCACCAAAAGAGGCAUGACAAAAUGUCGAUAAAUAGUGGUGCGUCAAGUGUGUGUCCGUUAUGUUAUUGUGGAGUGCCUGCACGUGUAAGGUAUUCUUGGACUAAUACAAAUACCACCAGAAAGUGGUAUGGCUGUGAAAAUUAUAAGAGAAAGGGUGAUUGUGAUUUUUUGGCAUGGGCUAAUAAUGAAAUGACUACGUACGAGAUGAAGAUAAUGGAACGCCUGAAAGUCCUCGACGAUAGAAGAAAUGCAGAUAAUGAUAGACUUGAGAAGCUAAUUGAAACAAAAGUAAAUUAUCAAUAUCUUAAACUUGAGAAGCUGAUUGAAAAAAAAUAUAAUGAUCAAUAUGUUAAAUUUGAGAAGCUGAUUGAAAAAAAAAUAUAAAAAUGAAUAUGUUAAACUUCGACGGGAGCCGGAGCAAUGUCAAACUAAUGGAAAGAUGUUUCGGGGUAUGAUAGUAGUAGUCAUUUUGCUUUUUGUUUUUUUACCUUAGUGGCUAUAGUGGAUCUCGAGGUACUUAUUUGAUGUUAAACUAAAAGAAAAUGAGAGUUAUGUAUCAAGUUGGGAUGUAUUCUAUUGUAGUAUGUUGGAUUGUAAUGCGGUCACUUUGUAGAGGAACGUUAUUUUGUGAUUGGAUGUAAUAUGACAGUUUAUUUCAUCCAACUUUUAGUUGGAUGUAAUAUGAUAGUUUACUUGCUAGUAAUGAAUGGUAUUUAAUGUAA